UUACUAUCAUUCAUAGUAUUUGAAGGAGUUUGUUUUGGCCUUCGCCGUCCUAAAAUCGUAAGGUCUCUAGUAAUUUACGAUGCGAACCUCUUGCUAUGACGAAGAGCAACAACCUUGAACUGUUAGCUAUUCAGAUAAACACAAACAGCUGUGGAAAAGUUUCUGUCCCUACACAGUCUACUAGUCUAUCGACCUCAAACAAUACAAGUGCUAAUUGCUACAUGCAACUCGAUCUAUGACAACAAAUUGAUUCUGUUUGGAGACUUGUCAACCAUAAUUUGACCUAGCUUCCGGCAUGUUGUAAAACAUGGAUUGGACCCUGGACUGGACUGGACUUGUAAAACAAGGACUUGUAAAACAUGGACUUGUAAAACAUGGACUUGUAAAACAUGGACUUGUAAAACAUGGACUUGUAAAACAUGGACUUGUAAAACAUGGACUUGUAAAACAUGAACUUGUAAAACAUGG